CCAUGUGUAGCGGUGAAAUGCGCAGAGAUAUGGAGGAACACCAGUGGCGAAGGCGACUUUCUGGUCUGUAACUGACGCUGAUGUGCGAAAGCGUGGGGAUCAAACAGGAUUAGAUACCCUGGUAGUCCACGCCGUAAACGAUGAGUGCUAAGUGUUAGGGGGUUUCCGCCCCUUAGUGCUGCAGCUAACGCAUUAAGCACUCCGCCUGGGGAGUACGACCGCAAGGUUGAAACUCAAAGGAAUUGACGGGGACCCGCACAAGCGGUGGA
rnacentral:rRNA from 1 species